UAGAUGAUGAUAUGGAAGAAAAGCACUCUUUGGCCUGUUGUGACUGGGACAGUUGACAGCACCCAGGUGUCCUUUAAUGAAAAUGCUCUUGACACCAAUGCAUCCUAGCAUCACAGCUUCAGGAAGCCUUCUCAAGUGUGCAUGGGGAGUACUAUGUCUUUCAUCAAUAAUGAAAUCUUCUGAUUUGUAAGACAUGCUGCCAAGAGAUGUGCCAUUCUAUUAUAAAAGAUCAGUAGCUUCCUUUACCGACGUGUAUAUUCUAUCUAGAACAUUGAGCUAUGGAAGACUCCCACCUAAGGGAAUUAGUUUUACACCUUCAGAUAAAGACUGCUGAGAAGAGCACCCUCUGGUGUUGUCACAGAGGCAAGUGCUACCGCACAGGCAUGCUGCAGUGAAUUUAACUGAUCCUCUGUCCCUGCAACCGUUGUUUAAGGAUGCUAUUCUGAAAAGACUGUGGAGGAAGAAAACCCUUUACCCUGUUGUUCAGGGAGAAACUGACACCACUCAACUGCCUGGCACUGAAAAUGUGGCAUCCAGUCCACUUUACCAUCAGUGUUUAAGGAAACCAUCUCUGAUAAGGAUGACUGAGGAAGAGUACUCUUUGGCUUGUUGACACCAGCACAGCUGACACACCCAGAUAUCUGUUUGGUCUCCUGUGAACUUUCAACCAGGAUUUAAGGAUGCCACUCUGGUUAAAAGCUGAAACAACUUCAAGGAAACUUCAGGGAAAAGAGAAGGCCUGGAAUCUGAUCCUCCACUUCAGAGAACAGGGAGAAAAAAGUGCAUGUGAAAUACUACUACUUAUCCAUCUCCUGGCUCUGAGCAGUACAUGUCAGGAACAAGAGGGAAUUGUAGCUGGAAGACAGUAGAAGAGCCAUAGGACAAGUCUCUAAGAGAAGGAAGAAAAGGCGCAAUGAAAGAAAACAAGUUUAAGAUAGUAGAAAAGCAUUCAAAGACGGCAACCUGAGGUGGUGGAGUCUAUGGCCCUUCUCCUUGAAUCUGAGUGAAAUUAGUGAGUCUUUCAAUCCAAAGACUACAGUCAUACCUCAACUAUCUACAGAGGACUGGUUCCAGGACUCCCAUGGAUCCCAAAAUCCAAGGAUGCUUCGAAUCCCUUAUAUAAAAUGGCAUGGUAUUUGCAUAUAACCUACAUGCAUCUUCAAAUAUGUUAAACCAUCUCUAGAUUACUUAUAAUACCAAAUACAAUGUAAUGCUAUGUAAACAGUUGUUACAAUGUAUUGUCAAAGACAAGCUCUCCUUGCCAAUCCCUGACCAAAUGAGAGAUUCAUGAGCAAAAUAAAUAGUUGCUGAUAUUUAAGGCACUAAGUUUGGGGCAAUGUAUUACACAGCAAUAAAUAACUGGAACAGCAUAGUAAAUUCUAGUUAAAAAUACUAAACUACUAAGUUUUAGUUAACAUACAUGCUCAAGUUAAGGGUGUGGUAUACUAACAACUGCAACUUACUUUGAAAAGCAUAAAAAAAGACACUAGAAGAAGACAGGAUGGAUAGAUGGACAAGAUAGAAGACAAUAACAAAUAGAACAAAAUGUUGUGAAAUUAUAUUCUACAAUUAUUUUAAAGUCUGUGUGGUUUGAAAAAUUGUACGAUAAAAUGAAGAGUGAAAUAAAGACAUUUCCAUACAAACAAAA
ensembl:lncRNA SNHG14 small nucleolar RNA host gene 14